CUGUUCCCAUGCCGAACACAGAAGUUAAGCUCUUUAGCGCCGAUGGUAGUCGGACUUACGUUCCGCGAGAGUAGGACGUUGCCAGGC
rnacentral:rRNA from 1 species